rnacentral:rRNA from 1 species
AUUGAACGCUGGCGGCAUGCCUUACACAUGCAAGUCGAACGGUAACAGGUCUUCGGACGCUGACGAGUGGCGAACGGGUGAGUAAUACAUCGGAACGUGCCCAGUCGUGGGGGAUAACUACUCGAAAGAGUAGCUAAUACCGCAUACGAUCUGAGGAUGAAAGCGGGGGACCUUCGGGCCUCGCCCGAUGGGAGCGGCCGAUGGCAGAUUAGGUAGUGGGUGGGAUAAAAGCUUACCAAGCCGACGAUCUGUAGCUGGUCUGAGAGGACGACCAGCCACACUGGGACUGAGACACGGCCCAGACUCCUACGGGAGGCAGCAGUGGGGAAUUUUGGACAAUGGGCGAAAGCCUGAUCCAGCAAUGCCGCGUGCAGGAUGAAGGCCUUCGGGUUGUAAACUGCUUUUGUACGGAACGAAAAAGCUCCUUCUAAUACAGGGGGCCCAUGACGGUACCGUAAGAAUAAGCACCGGCUAACUACGUGCCAGCAGCCGCCGUAA